rnacentral:lncRNA from 1 species
AGUGGACGUAGUCAUGGGGCUCAAGGGCGGAGCAAACAUCAACAGCUGGUGGUGAGCGGGGUGACAGGUGGACUGAGGAAGGCAGGGCCAUGGGCUUGGAGGCGGGACACGCGUCAGUAGCAGGUGGCGGCGGGGCUAUGGAGCUCAAGGAUGGAGCAAAUGUCAACAGGCACAGAUGAUGGGAGCUACUCAGGAGGCUGAGGCAGGAGAAUUACUUGAACUUGGGAGGCAGAGGUUUCAGUGAGCCGAGUUCGUGGUCACUGCACUCCAGCCUGGCUACAGAGUGAGAUUCCAUCUCAAAAAAAAAAAAAAAAAAAAGAAUGAGUCUGGCCCCUUUUUGUCUUUCUCUCAUCCUCUUUGCCUUUCACCAUGUUAUGAUGCAGCAAGAAGCCCCUCAUCAGAUACUAGUGCCAUGACCUUGGACUUCCCAGCCUCCAGAACUGUGAGAAAAUAAAUUUCUGUUCUAUGUAAAUU